AUAGCAUGUGGAAUACACCAGUUCCCGUUCCCCAUGGAUCUAUGAAGUUAAGCAACGUUGCGCAUGGUUGGUAUCCGGAUGGGCGACCAUCUAGGCAAUAGCGUGU
rnacentral:rRNA from 1 species